rnacentral:rRNA from 1 species
AGGAUGAACGCUGGCGGCGUGCCUAACACAUGCAAGUCGAACGUCCUGUCUCGCAAGAGGCAGGGAGUGGCGGACGGGUGAGUACCACGUGGGUUAUCUACCGUGAGGUGAGGAAUACCGGCGAGAAAUCGCCGACAAGACCGCAUAGCCUCGGUGCAAGUCGAGGAAAGCUCUCUCGAGAGAGGGAGCGCCACACGAGGAGCCUGCGCCCGAUUAGCUAGCUGGUGGAGUAAUGGUUCACCAGGGCGACGAUCGGUAGCUGGUCUGAGAGGACGAUCAGCCACACUGGGAUUGAGAACGGCCCAGACUCCUACGGGGGGCAGCAGUGAGGAAUUUUCGUCAAUGGGGGCAACCCUGAACGAGCAACGCCGCGUGCAGGAAGAAGGUUUUCGGAUCGUAAACUGCUUUUCUCGGGAAGAGAACGGACGGUACCCGAGGAAUCGAGCCCCGGCUAACUACGUGCCAGCAGCCGCGGU